UGGCUCUGAUACCAACUAUUGGAGCAUGAUCCUGGCUCCUCCCAUGGACCUUGGGUGCAGCAGAACUAGCAACAAAUAAAUUUGGAGACUUCUGGACUCGAUCGAAGGCCCUUGACGAAAUCAGCCUGGUUGCUGGCUUUCAUUCCGGAUGAAGAAUGCCUCUGAAAUUACCUCUAAAAAAUCCAAGAUCUAGUACCCAACUAGAUCAGGCCUAGAUCGAGGUCUUUCAAUUCAUAGAUCUCAAAUCAAGGUAUUCUAGAUAGGGAAGAAGGUAGAUGGAGAUAGACCUUGCAGAUCUGUCCUGCUGCAGCCUUUCCUGUAGAUCUGUUGAUGGAGAUCUCACCCGUGCCUCAAACAAUCUCAGAUCAACUCCAGAUCUGAGAGAAACUUGUACCAACCUCUUCUCAAGAGAUUCUAGGUCCUGGACCUGAUAUUUGGGUGGCUGCAAGAGAGGGAGGA
rnacentral:lncRNA from 1 species